ACACGCUGGCGGCGUGCCUAAUACAUGCAAGUCGAACGGUCUUUCUAUGGAAGCUUGCUUCCACUGAGAAGAUAGUGGCGAACGGGUGAGUAACACGUGAGUAACCUGCCCAUAAGAGGGGGAUAACAUCCGGAAACGGGUGCUAAUACCGCAUAGUUUUCUUGAUCGCAUGAUCGGGAAAGGAAAGACGGCCUUUGUGCUGUCGCUUAUGGAUGGACCCGCGGCGUAUUAGUUAGUUGGUGAGGUAACGGCUCACCAAGACGAUGAUACGUAGCCGACCUGAGAGGGUGAUCGGCCACAUUGGGACUGAGACACGGCCCAAACUCCUACGGGAGGCAGCAGUAGGGAAUCUUCCGCAAUGGACGAAAGUCUGACGGAGCAACGCCGCGUGAGUGAAGAAGGUUUUUCCGGAUCGUAAAACUCUGUUGUCAGAGAAGAACAAGUUGGAGAGUAACUGCUCCAGCCUUGACGGUAUCUGACCAGAAAGCCACGGCUAACUACGUGCCAGCAGCAGC
rnacentral:rRNA from 1 species